AGCGAACGCUGGCGGCAGGCUUAACACAUGCAAGUCGAACGCCCCGCAAGGGGAGUGGCAGACGGGUGAGUAACACGUGGGAACGUACCCUUUGGUUCGGAAUAACUUGGGGAAACUCAAGCUAAUACCGGAUAAGCCCUUAUGGGGAAAGGUUUACUGCCGAAGGAUCGGCCCGCGUCUGAUUAGCUAGUUGGUGAGGUAAUGGCUCACCAAGGCGACGGUCAGUAGCUGGUCUGAGAGGAUGAUCAGCCACACUGGGACUGAGACACGGCCCAGACUCAUACGGGAGGCAGCAGUGGGGAAUAUUGGACAAUGGGGGCAACCCUGAUCCAGCCAUGCCGCGUGAGUGAUGAAGGCCUUAGGGUUGUAAAGCUCUUUUACCCGGGACGAUAAUGACUGUACCGGGAGAAUAAGCCCCGGCUAACACAGUCUGCGAAUGACGGUACCU
rnacentral:rRNA from 1 species